rnacentral:rRNA from 1 species
GACGAACGCUGGCGGCGCGCCUAACACAUGCAAGUCGAACGGAGUCAAGAGGAGCUUGCUUUUCUUGACUUAGUGGCGAACGGGUGAGUAACGCGUGAGUAACCUGCCCUGGAGUGGGGGACAACAGUUGGAAACGACUGCUAAUACCGCAUAAGCCCACGGAUCCGCAUGGAUCUGCGGGAAAAGGAUUUAUUCGCUUCAGGAUGGACUCGCGUCCAAUUGGCUAGUUGGUGAGGUAACGGCCCACCAAGGCGACGAUUGGUAGCCGGACUGAGAGGUUGAACGGCCACAUUGGGACUGAGACACGGCCCAGACUCCUACGGGAGGCAGCAGUGGGGGAUAUUGCACAAUGGGGGAAACCCUGAUGCAGCGACGCCGCGUGGAGGAAGAAGGUUUUCGGAUUGUAAACUCCUGUCGUUAGGGACGAUAAUGACGGUACCUAACAAGAAAGCACCGGCUAACUACGUG